GCGGCUGUAGCUCAGUGGUAGAGCUCUCGGUUGUGGUCCGAGUUGUCGUGGGUUCGAUCCCCAUCAGUCGCCCCA
rnacentral:tRNA from 1 species